rnacentral:rRNA from 1 species
GAGCGGCGUACGGGUGCGGACACGUGUGCACCUGCCUUUAUCUGAGGGGAUAGCCUUUCGAAAGGAAGAUUAAUACCCCAUAAUAUGUUGAAAUGGAUCAUUCGACAUUGAAAACUCGGUGGAUAAAUGGGCACGCGCAGAUUAAUAGCUGGUGAGGUAACGGUCACCAAGUCUACGAUCUUUAGGGGCCUGAAGGGUGAUCCCCAACUGGUACUGAACAGACCAAUCUACGGAGCAUGAGGAAUAUUGGANCAUGGGUGAGAGCUGAUCCAGGCAUCCGCGUGAAGGACGAAUGCCCUAUGGGUUGUAAACUUCUUUUGUAUCAGGGAUAAACUACCCUCGUGAGGGUAGCUCGAAGGUACUAUACGAAUAAGCGCAGGCUAACUCCGUGAACAGCAAGACGCGGUAAUCACGGAAGAGGUGCAAAGCGUUAAUCCGGCAUUAUCGGAGGUCUUCAAAAGGGUCCGUAAGCCGGAUCUUGAAAGUCCAGUGGUCGAAAAUCUCACAGUUUAACUUGUGACAAACUGCCCACUUGGAUUACUNGCAGAGUCUCUGGNCGUCGUCGUCGAACANUAAGCUGGGGAAAUAAAAAGUCACAGA